rnacentral:rRNA from 1 species
GAUCCUGGCUCAGGAUGAACGCUAGCUACAGGCUUAACACAUGCAAGUCGAGGGGCAUCAGGAAGAAAGCUUGCUUUCUUUGCUGGCGACCGGCGCACGGGUGAGUAACACCGUAUCCAACCUGCCCUUUACUCGGGGAUAGCCUUUCGAAAGAAAGAUUAAUACCCGAUGGGAUAAUCAUUCCGCAUGGUUUGAUUAUUAAAGGAUUCCGGUAAAGGAUGGGGAUGCGUUCCAUUAGGUUGUUGUGAGUAACGG